UUUGCUCUUGUUGUCUAAGUCCGUUCUUGAAAGUGCAUCAUUUAUGUCAUGUUGACGUUUGGCCUUGUUUCUCCAUUAAAGCAUGUUUAUUAAUCAUGGUAACUUUAUCAUACUGACAAUUCAGAAAGCUAAUUUGAACUGGUGACUUGCCAUCAUUGUCACAUAUAUUAUAGUCGGCUCCUCUAUCUAGCAUCAUUUUAACUAUU
rnacentral:lncRNA from 1 species